GGAGAGAAAGAAAUCUGCCAAACUUUCACAAAAAGCAACCUGGUCAAACAACAACCAUGACUCAUCCAGAUGGCUGACACUGACAGAAGAACUAAGAGGUGCUAUACUUGGUUCCAAGAUUCCCAAGCUGUGGAGAUUUGGUGACUUCAAGGUUUCUUGGAAGGACUAUAGCCGCUACCUUUGGAAGUGACCUCAACCGUCCCACGAAGCAUGCGCUCUAGGGAAAAAGUGCCCGGGCUUGGUAAAGGGACUUGGAGACAAGCCUGCAGACUGCCAUCUUCCAGGAGACUGUCUCCCUCAGCACACAUUGCACAGACAAGCUGCAGCAGCACUGUGCUGCAGUUACAACAGGCACUGCGAAGGUACCUGUGAAUCGUUCACAAGGCAUAUUAAAAGCGUAAGUAAGCUGUGCGUGAUGGUGCACGCCUAUGAUCCCAGCACUGGGGAGGCUGAGGCAGGAGGAUAACUAGGAGUUUGAGGUCAUUCAGGACUCCAUAGUGAGGUCAAGUCCAACCUGAAUGACAUAGCAAGCCCAGCCUCAAACAAAGCAAAAGAACAAAACAAAACAAAACACCAUAAGGAACCUGUGAAAUUAAUUCUAAUAAUACAUUUUCUUUAACCCAGUAUAUCCAAAGUAUUUUCAGAAUGUAAUCAACAUAAUGAAUAGGGCCUGGGUGUGGCUCAGGGGUAAGCAUUUCCUGACAUUUGCAAGGGUCCAAACUUAGGGAGAAAGGCGUGGCUUAGACUGCCUGGGCAGAGAGGGGUGACCAGAUCCCACAACCCCAUAUGAGGAUGUUGCUUUGGGUUCCCAUGGUGCGUGGAGGAGAUAAAAUGUCCCAGAUGCCGUGAAGAGCUCACUCCCUGGCUUCCCUCACAGCAGCCCGCCCUGUGUCCCCCAGGGUGUACUUCUCUUUCCUUGUCUUUUCCCUGGCCCCGAGUUCCCUCCGCAGAACUGGUUUCUCCCUUAUCUUCCACUUUUACUUUUUCAAAUAAAUUCUGUCACCGUG